ACCUUGCGGUUGUGAGGCAGGCACCCGAACCACUGAGCUAAAUCCCCAGCCCUAUGUGAACUAUUUUGCUGCUUCGAAAGGCCCAUGACUGAACAGACUUCAAACAGGUUACAAGUGGUGCCCAGCAAGUCAUGAAGAUCCUUGAAGAGAAGCCCACACCGUCAGCACAGGCAUAUGGACAGAUAUUUCUCAAUCUCCAACCAGCCAAGAUUGCACAGCUAGAAACUUAGGU